GAACCAGCAUGCGCAUAACCUCCGUAUAUAAAUGACGCCGAAGAAGCGUUACGGUUUUUUUUUUUAGGGUUCGGUGUUUUACUGUUGAGCUGCUCAGUGCCCAGCUUAGAGGACCGGGAAAAGGAGUCACCGGCCGUAUGCUGGAGGCUUAGAGCCGCGGCACAGCUCGCCUGGCUAUGGUUGGUGGUGGCAGUGGAGAUUGCGAUUGCAGCGCAUCUGGAGGGGUUGUUUGAGGGACGUUCAUCAAGGAAACCGGAGGAACUUAAAACGCUCUUCUGCUUCUUUGGAACAGUCACAGAGAAAAGUGAACUCCUUUCAUUCUUGCAGUAAUUUUUCUUGCUGAUGGGAACUGUUCAAGUCAAGUGACAUAACCUACUGGGUUGGUGACAUUUACAAGACAGAGUCUUGAGGAUUUUCCAGAACGGGAAAGAUUUUGAAAGAACAAAGAGGAACUACAGAAUCAUUGCUUACAUUGACACCAGCCCUAUUGUCCCAAUGGAUGGGUUUUUUUGGAUGAACGUCAAAAUUGACCCUGCUGUUAAAGCUUGAAACUUGGAUCUGUUGUAUCUGAGUUCUCUCCUCAAAAAAAGACCUUCAGGAAGUAUCAGAUAACUGAAACAUAGCAGAUCACAGCACCACAUGCCUCCUGCCCCUCCCUAAUUUCUGUUCUCUUAUACAUUGUUAAAUUUCUUUCCUGCCCCUAUUAGUCAAGCCCAUGGAUUUGAGACUGAGCUCCCAGCUCCUGGGCCACAGCACCAGGUUAAAGCUUUCUUCCUUGGCAGUACUUGUCACCUUAGUGACUGGCUUUUUCUCUGAUGAGCAGGAGGACCUGGAUGAAACCCCUGGUGUUUGGUCAAGGAACUUGAUGCUCCGUAAAUGCAAAUAUUACGGUUAAAAGAAGAGAGAGGAAAUGUGUGCAGAGAAAGUGUAUUUUACAAAUGAAUUAAAGAUGGAUUCUGAGAUACAAGUUUAUAGAUUUACCUAGAGUUUUGAGUUCAGGAAGCCAUCAUUCUUUAGAGGGCAAUGACCAAACAGUACCAGCAGAAAUUGAAGUACCAGCAGAAGGCUAAGAAGGGAUCAUGGCACAAGCUGCAGUUUCCACCCUGCCCGUUGAAGAUGAGGAGUCCAUGGAAGAUGAGGAGUCCGUUGAAGAUGAGUCUGUUGAAGGAUCAUGGCACAAGUUGCAGUUUCCACUCUGCCCAUUGAAGAUGAGGAGUCUGUUGAUGAUGAGGAGUCCUUGGAGAGCGGGAUGGUGGUGACAUUCCUAAUGUCAGCUCUCAAGUCCACGAUUUGUAGAUGCUGAGGAGCCAAAGAGAGGUCACUAGGGCUGGAGGACACAGAACUUGGCCCCACACUUCCAUCAGACCUUGGUCCCCAGGGGAGAAGCCCUGGGGCAGCUCCUGCUAGUGCCACUCCCUUAACCCAGCCAAGCAACAGGGAGGGAGGAGCGGUGCUCAGCCAAUGAGACGACGCCCUGGAGCCCCACCCCACCCAUGCUGGCCCCAGGACCCCAACCCCAGGCCAGACCCUCCAGUGCUCCUCCUGACCUUCCCUGUCUGCAGCCCAGCUUUGGACUGUGGAGAUGCCCUCAGCCACUACUCAGUGGCUCCAGCCUCAUAUUUGCGUGCUAUACCUUUAACCUCAAGCCCUCUUGCUGCUAACUUAAGCUGUGACUGUCCAGGACUUGCACACACACAUACAUGCACACAUGCACACACACACACAGAAGGUGAACACACAGGAUGAGGCCCUGAAAACUCAUUUCACCCGUGUACCUCACCCAAAAAUUCCCCUUUGUACUCCUAUCUUUAUCUCUAACUGACAGCAUGAAGGUAGCCCGAAGUCCCCUCACCCUGUCUGUCCUCCUGAUUCUCUAGCCCAGUUCCCUCUAGCUCCAGCACAGACUCUUAUCUCCAGCCCUGACUGCUGAAACCCUCCAGCCCCAGCUCCAGCCCCUCAGGAGGGGACUGCGAGGGAGGAAUGACUCCAGCAAGCCGGCAGCUGACCCGUCUCCUGCCUGCACACCUCCCCCUGUGGUCCACUGCUGGUGGUCUUCAGCUCUCUCCUCGUCCCACCCGCAUGGUCUGCUGACAGCCCAGCCCAGUGCAUCCCUGCCAUCUCUGCUCUACCGCUGGUCCUCCCAACAACCAACUUACAGCUUCCAAUUGUGGACAAGAUAAGGACCAUUGCCCAGGCUGUCUAUGGAGCCAAAGAUAUCGAACUCUGUCCUGAGGCACAAGUCAAAAUAGAUCGUUACACUCAGCAGGGUUUUGGAAAUUUGCCCAUCUGCAUGGCAAAGACCGACCUUUCUGUCUCACCAACCUGACAAAAAAGGUGUGCCAAGGGACUUCAUCUUACCUAUCAGUGAUGUCUGGGCCAGCAUAGGUGCUGGGUUCAUUUACCCUUUGGUCGGAACGGGAAGCAGAGAAUCUCCCGUCUGGCUCUAGUUGGAGAAUCCCAACCCAAGCAAGUCCAUCUUUGAACAAUAAACAUCUCCAGUAUUGCUGGCUUUGGAAGACCCCAUGGUGCACCACUGACAUCAUUGCUCGGCUGGACUCUGGAAAGCAGGAAAUUGCUGGAGCAUGUUUGGGGCAUCAGUGAUGUCACUCGCUACGAAUGCCCGGUGGGGUUACUGGACUGAGGGCCAUGAAAAAAGAAAGCUGCGGCCCUGCCCCAUGGACUCACUGCCAUUCUGUUCUUUCUCACAUUUCAGUUCAGCUCACUUUGUUUUCCGUCCCCCUCCCUCUACUGUAAAAGUAUGCACUCAGUGUUUCAUUUCCUGCUGGAUCUGAUUCAGGUCAGUGAUGAAGUUCUUUGCCAGCUCAGUGGGGAGGCGUUUCCUCCCCUUCAUACCGGCCCUGCUUAGGGAUGCAUGGUUGGUUAUAUACUUGCUUCACUCGGUUAGGCAUGGAGGAGAAUUCAUUCAGACCUCAUAGGUUUAAAUCAAAUGCAUUUAAUUUUCCUUCACAUUUUCCAGAGAUUUAGACAAUUACAGUGAGACAAUUAAACAUUCACCCCCCAAGCUGCACUUGGAGAUGUGUAAGCAGUAAUGUAGUCAUGCGCUCCCCAUGAUAUGAGAGUGUGCAGAAUGCCACUCCCCACAGCAGGUCCACCAGGACCUCCUCAGGGAGCAUCUUGCCUACAAAAUCACCCAUCCAUUUUUCCCCACUCUCUUCACUUUCCCUACGUUUCCACUCCCACACCCACAAAUAAACAAAGAAACUUUGAGCUUAUUUUACAAAAGUCUUUGAAAUGGCCCUCCUCUCUCCGAUGCUCCUGGGCCCUGGUUUGGCCCCAUCUGUGCAGUCUCUCUGAUGAGUGUGAAAUAAGCCAUGUUUGGCUCAUGCUCUCCCCGUGAGCCUGCCCUCUCCAUCUGGCCUCACUUUGUUUGUGUCCCUGUGUCCUUUGUCUCUGAUCCUGGGAUCCUGGUGGUUUCCUCCUCCCCGCCCAGCUUGGGUCCUUUUCCCCAGGGUUCUUCCCUAUCUCUACAUCAGAAUGUCCUGCUUUCUCCCAAAUAUGCAUUUCCCUGGCCCAGGCAUCCAUUGCUUCCUCUCAUCGUGAGGUCCCUGCAGCAGGCUGCCGAUGGUGUUGUGGCCAUGCCUUCCUCCACAACCCAGGGAAAGCUACAUGUGUGUCUGUCCCAUAGGGAAGGAGUCAUCCCUGUCUCUUCAGUGUGGCAUGUUCAGGAGGAAGGAAAGUAACCAGCGUCGUUCUCAAUUUCUGGAAACUGUUUAUCAUAUUGACAAGAAGAAGAAAGCUUUGUGACUCAUGAGAAUGAUGUUUUCCUCUCUGGUACAUAAGGUUAUGUAGGUCCAAUCCAUUUGUGUAGAGGAUCUUUUCUCCCUUAAUGUGAUGUACACUUAUUUUUAGCACAGUAUAAAACUACUUUAAAUGAAAUCAGCCUCAGCCAGGGAAAUAUGCUGAGUAAUAAUGUUGCCAGGUACUAUACCACUGAGUUGAGUUUGCAAUUCACUGCUAUUAAUCCCUGUGUGUUAGUUCUGAAUUUUUACUCUUUGCAUACGUAGAAAAAUGGUGUUUCUCUUCAGAGUCAAGGAGGGAAAAAAGAAAAGAUAAAAGACGCUUAUAACA